UGAGUGUGAAAGGCAAUCGCGGCGCCUGUGAGUUUUCGGAUUUGCAGGCGGUGAGGAAAGUCCGAGCUCCAUAGGGCGGAAUGCCGGAUAACGUCCGGCGAGGGAAACCUUAGGGAUAGUGCCACAGAAAAGUGUACCGCCAGAUUUAUCUGGUAAGGGUGGAACGGUGCGGU
rnacentral:RNase_P_RNA from 1 species